AUUCUUGCUAUUAUUAACUUUAUUGGAGAUAUAAUAGUGGGAUCAUAGGAUGAAAAGGUUUUUCCUGUCUUAUGUUAUUUCCUGGAGCCAGCAAUAAGCAAGAAGACUUAUCUCCUUCCACGUCUGAACUUCCAUUGGCACUCCUCUUCUCUACAGCACGACUGUCUACUGUCAUGAGUUUAACAGAACAUAAGCAAGCUGGAAUUGGAGGAAGCAAAGGUGACCUGCAAACAUCUUGGGAAUAGUAGAACAACCUAAUUCAUCUUUUGACUAUACCUUGCUGAAUAUCAUUGAAGAUCUCUGUCUGAGACAGCACCUGAGAAAUGCUUUACUGAGAAAAAAAACUUCAGGGCCAUAAUUACUGGCAUUAGGCUUGGACAGUCAAAACCCCAAAUUCAAUGGAACUGGGAAAGUUUAUACCAAGGGUUAACAAAAUACAAAAAAUGAA